GGGGGCGACUUGGAUUCGACCGGAUGAUUGGAAGCGUAUGGUCGCGUGUCGUGGUUGAUCAGUUGGCCACGUAAAAAGCUGAUCACAAUUUUUAAUUGCAGAUGAAAAUCUCCAAUUGGCUGCCUAAUUACAGGCUGCCCGGACUGAUGGGGGCUGCCAGAGUCGCCUGAAAGUCCGUCACAAUUCUGGAUCGCCCACCGUCCUGCUCGAGACGCGGUGGGUUAAACAAGAUUCGAGCUAGCGAGCCACGUAGUUUGUCCAGCAGCGCCGUGGUAAGCGAAGCGAGUUUCGGCUCAUAACCGCAGGACUACACACGUAGACACCGUCGUGGACGCAUCGCGGGACGAGGGUUCAAUUCCCUCCGCCUCCA
rnacentral:tmRNA from 1 species